UUGAAUAAACUUGGUCAAGCUGUUGCUGGUCUUUCGGGACAUGUGCACGCUUGCCACCAAUUUUAACCACCUGUGCACUUUUUGUAGACUGGAAACGUUUCUCGAGGCAACUCGGAUUGAGGACUGCUGGCGCAAGUCGGCUUUUCUUGUGUUUCUCAGUCUAUGUUUUCAUAUACACCUAAUGAAUGUAUCAGAAUGUAUUGCUAGGCCUUAGGCCUUUAAAUCAAAUA
rnacentral:misc_RNA from 1 species